rnacentral:rRNA from 1 species
GUGUCAGCAGCCGCGGUAAUACGGAGGGUGCAAGCGUUGUUCGGAAUCACUGGGCGUAAAGGGCGUGUAGGCGGUCCGUUAAGUCUGAUGUGAAAGCCCGGGGCUCACCCCCGGAAGGGCAUUGGAAACUGGCGGACUCGAGUCCCGGAGAGGAAGGUGGAAUUCCUGGUGUAGCGGUGAAAUGCGUAGAUAUCAGGAGGAAUACCGGUGGCGAAGGCGGCCUUCUGGACGGUGACUGACGCUGAGACGCGAAAGCGUGGGGAGCAAACAGGAUUAGAUACCCCAGUAGUCC